GGGCACCGAACCUGGACAAAGUGACACCUCGUUGGUGAUGUUUGUCUUAUAUCAGCCAGGGACGAAGCAGAUGGCACUCCUUUGUUCAUCCUAGCAUGAUGCCUGGCUUGGUGGCAAAAGUUGUUUUAUACCUAGGACACAUGA